GACGAACGCUGGCGGCGUGCCUAAUACAUGCAAGUCGAACGCUUCUUUCCUCCCGAGUGCUUGCACUCAAUUGGAAAGAGGAGUGGCGGACGGGUGAGUAACACGUGGGUAACCUACCCAUCAGAGGGGGAUAACACUUGGAAACAGGUGCUAAUACCGCAUAACAGUUUAUGCCGCAUGGCAUAAGAGUGAAAGGCGCUUUCGGGUGUCGUUGAUGGAUGGACCCGCGGUGCAUUAGCUAGUUGGUGAGGUAACGGCUCACCAAGGCCACGAUGCAUAGCCGACCUGAGAGGGUGAUCGGCCACACUGGGACUGAGACACGGCCCAGACUCCUACGGGAGGCAGCAGUAGGGAAUCUUCGGCAAUGGACGAAAGUCUGACCGAGCAACGCCGCGUGAGUGAAGAAGGUUUUCGAAUCGUAAAACUCUGUUGUUAGAGAAGAACAAGGACGUUAGUAACUGAACGUCCCCUGACGGUAUCUAACCAGAAAGCCACGGCUAACUACGUG
rnacentral:rRNA from 1 species